rnacentral:rRNA from 1 species
CCGGGUUGUCAAAGGAGUGAUCCGGCAGAGGAUGGACAUGCGGCGCAUUAGCUAGUCGGCGGGGUAACGGCCCACCGAGGCUACGAUGCGUAGGGGUUCUGAGAGGAAGGUCCCCCACACUGGUACUGAGACACGGACCAGACUCCUACGGGAGGCAGCAGUGAGGAAUAUUGGUCAAUGGGCGGAAGCCUGAACCAGCCAAGUCGCGUGAGGGAAGACGGUCCUAUGGAUUGUAAACCUCUUUUGCAGGGGAACAAGGCGCGGUACGUGUACCGCGAAGGAGAGUACCCUGAGAAAAAGCAUCGGCUAACUCCGUGCCAGCAGCCGCGGUAAUACGGAGGAUGCGAGCGUUAUCCGGAUUUAUUGGGUUUAAAGGGUGCGCAGGCGGACUGUUAAGUCAGCGGUAAAAUGUCGGUGCUCAACACCGGCCGGCCGUUGAAACUGGCAGCCUUGAGUGAGCGAGAAGUAUGCGGAAUGCGUGGUGUAGCGGUGAAAUGCAUAGAUAUCACGCAGAACUCCGAUUGCGAAGGCAGCAUACCGGCGCUCAACUGACGCUCAGGCACGAAAGCGUGGGUAUCGAACAGGCUUAGAUACCCUGGUAGUCCACGCAGUAAACGAUGAAUGCUCACUGUCCGGGCCGUUUAAGGCCUGGGUGGUCAAG